GUCCCCGUAGCUUAUAAAAAGCAUGACACUGAAGAUGUCAAGAUGGCUGCCCCCCGCACCCGAGGACA
rnacentral:tRNA from 1 species